UGGUGGGGUGACUUGUCUGCUUAAUUGCGAUAUCGAACGAGACCUUAACCUGCUAAAUAGCCCGCAUUGCUCCGGCAGUGCGCUGGCUUCUUAGAGGGACUUUCGGCUCAAGCCGAAGGAAGUUUGAGGCAAUAACA
rnacentral:rRNA from 1 species